GGGGGGGGGGGGGGGGGGGGCGGGGGGGGGGGGGGGGGGGGGGGAGGGGGGGAGCUGGCUCGGCGGACGGUAGCGGCGGACGGGUGAGUCACAGGUGGAGAGCCUGCCUAGAAGACUGGGCUAACGUCGGUAAGCCGGAGCUACGACCCGAUCAUAUCUUGCCGCGCAUGGUUCAAUACUUAAAGACGGUUUUGCUGCCACUUAUAGAUUGAUCCGCGCCGCAUUAGCUAGUUGGUAAGGUAACGGCUUACCAAGGCAACGAUGCGUAGCCGACCUGAGAGGGUGAUCGGCCACACUGGAACUGAGACACGGUCAAGACUCCUACGGGAGGAAGAAGUAGGGAAUCUUCCGCAAUGGGCGAAAGCAUGACGGAGCAACGCAGCGUGAGUGAUGAAGGUCUUCGGAUCGUAAAACUCUGUUAUGAGGGAAGAACAAAUGUGUAAGGAACGAUGAACGUCUUGACGGUACCUAAUCAGAAAGCCACGGCUAACUACGUG
rnacentral:rRNA from 1 species